GUGCUUGUUUUGGCAGCACAUAUACUAAAAUUAGAAAGAUACAGAGAAGAUUAGCAUGGCCCCUGAGCAAGAAUGACAAGCAAAUUCAUGAAGUGUACCAUUUUUUU
ensembl:snRNA U6 U6 spliceosomal RNA